GGGUUGUGAGGUUAAGCGACUAAGCGUACACGGUGGAUGCCCUGGCAGUCAGAGGCGAUGAAGGACGUGCUAAUCUGCGAUAAGCGCCGGUAAGGUGAUAUGAACCGUUAUAACCGGCGAUUUCCGAAUGGGGAAACCCAGUGUGAUUCGUCACACUAUCAUUAACUGAAUCCAUAGGUUAAUGAGGCGAACCGGGGGAACUGAAACAUCUAAGUACCCCGAGGAAAAGAAAUCAACCGAGAUUCCCCCAGUAGCGGCGAGCGAACGGGGAGGAGCCCAGAGCCUGAAUCAGCAUGUGUGUUAGUGGAAGCGUCUGGAAAGGCGCGCGAUACAGGGUGACAGCCCCGUACACAGAAGCGCAUGUGCUGUGAGCUCGAUGAGUAGGGCGGGACACGUGGUAUCCUGUCUGAAUAUGGGGGGACCAUCCUCCAAGGCUAAAUACUCCUGACUGACCGAUAGUGAACCAGUACCGUGAGGGAAAGGCGAAAAGAACCCCGGCGAGGGGAGUGAAAAAGAACCUGAAACCGUGUACGUACAAGCAGUGGGAGCACAGGUUUACCUGUGUGACUGCGUACCUUUUGUAUAAUGGGUCAGCGACUUAUAUUCUGUAGCAAGGUUAACCGUAUAGGGGAGCCG
rnacentral:rRNA from 1 species